GUCUUCAGUCGAUGUGUGCCAUGCGGUCGGCUUGCGGCUCCAGUGCCUUCCCUCCUUAUUUGUGCCUUGGAAAGCAUCGCUUGUCUCCACAAGUUCUGGUUCCUCUACCUGAACUGAGUGGUAUGCAUCAGCUUUGUCCUUGAAGGUCUUCUGGUAGAGGUCUGCUAUUCUUCAUCUAUUUUCCCUUUCCAGCCAUGGCAGCAGAGAUCUUCUUCUCAGGCAUGACCACCUCCUCCAAAAGGGAGCUCUUCCAGGUGGGUAACUCCUUCGAGAGUGCAGUGCAUUCCUGGAAGAGACGGCCUAAUCUGACUCCAACAGCUGUCCUCAUCACUGUUUUUGUCUCUCUGUCACCAUCGUUUUUGCCUUUGGCCUCCCUGCUGACAAUGUCCGAGAUUGGUGACAACAUCUGACGAUGUUCUUUCUGUUGGUGUAAUGACAUUAUAUUUUUUCCUGAGAAAAAAAGUGUCUGCUAAAUGAAUAAAUGACCCUGAGCAGGGCUGUAAGUGCUGUGU
rnacentral:lncRNA from 1 species